rnacentral:rRNA from 1 species
GCCGCGUGAGGGAAGACGGCCCUAUGGGUUGUAAACCUCUUUUGUCGGAGAACAAAACCCGGGACGAGUCCCGGACUGCGUGUAUCCGAAGAAAAAGCAUCGGCUAACUCCGUGCCAGCAGCCGCGGUAAUACGGAGGAUGCGAGCGUUAUCCGGAUUUAUUGGGUUUAAAGGGUGCGUAGGCGGUCCGUUAAGUCAGCGGUAAAAUUGCGGGGCUCAACCCCGUCGAGCCGUUGAAACUGGCAGACUUGAGUUGGCGAGAAGUACGCGGAAUGCGCGGUGUAGCGGUGAAAUGCAUAGAUAUCGCGCAGAACUCCGAUUGCGAAGGCAGCGUACCGCCGCCAGACUGACGCUGAGGCACGAAAGC